AGAGUUUGAUCAUGGCUCAGGACGAACGCUGGCGGCGUGCCUAAUACAUGCAAGUCGAACGAACCGCGACUGAGUGCUUGCACUUGGUCAAGGUGAGUGGCGAACGGGUGAGUAACACGUGGGUAACCUACCUCAUAGUGGGGGAUAACAGUCGGAAACGACUGCUAAUACCGCAUAGGACAUGGAAUCACAUGAUUCUGUGAGGAAAGGUGGCGCAAGCUAUCGCUAAGAGAUGGACCCGCGGUGCAUUAGCUAGUUGGUAGGGUAAAGGCCUACCAAGGCGAUGAUGUAUAGCCGACCUGAGAGGGUGAUCGGCCACAUUGGGACUGAGACACGGCCCAAACUCCUACGGGAGGCAGCAGUAGGGAAUCUUCCGCAAUGGACGCAAGUCUGACGGAGCAACGCCGCGUGAGUGAAGAAGGUCUUCGGAUCGUAAAGCUCUGUUGUUAGAGAAGAACAGCGCAUAGAGUAACUGUUAUGCGUGUGACGGUAUCUAACCAGAAAGCCACGGCUAACUACGUGCCAGCAGCCGCGGUAAUACGUAGGUGGCGAGCGUUGUCCGGAUUUAUUGGGCGUAAAGGGAGUGUAGGCGGUCUUUUAAGUCUGAUGUGAAAGCCCACGGCUCAACCGUGGAGGGUCAUUGGAAACUGGGAGACUUGAGUGCAGAAGAGGAGAGCGGAAUUCCAUGUGUAGCGGUGAAAUGCGUAGAUAUAUGGAGGAACACCAGUGGCGAAGGCGGCUCUCUGGUCUGUAACUGACGCUGAGGCUCGAAAGCGUGGGGAGCAAACAGGAUUAGAUACCCCGGUAGUCCAA
rnacentral:rRNA from 1 species